CCUCACGGGAGGGAGAGCGGCCUGGGCUGAGGGGACUGUGUGUUGUGUGGAAGGUGCGUGUGGGCCCAGUGAGCGAGUGGACGCUCGAGUGUGUGUGCGUGGAGCGUGCAAGGCGAGUGCGUGUGCCCCACCUGCGCCCCUCCCCCCGCCUACACCUUGAUCUUAUUUGAUCGGGUCGUGACCCCAGCCCCGCCGGGCCGCCCCGAAAUGAAAAGCUCUCCUCCUGCGAAGCCCCCUCCUCUGGGCGCUGUGCAGUGAGGCCCUUUGGGCGGCGGCAGCGCCGCGGUCCCUGAGGUCCCGGAGCUGGUCCUAUGGGCCCGGUGCUCAGAAGUGAUGAAUUGAUCAGAUAGACGAGGCCGGGCCUGUCCCGGGCCAGUGAUUAUCGAGGCGAUUCUGAUCUGA
rnacentral:snoRNA from 17 species